GGUACGGUUUCACUCAUCACCCUGUGACUUACCUAAACGUUGCUUCGGCGGGAAUAGACGGCCCUGUAAAACGGGCCGCCCCCGCCAGAGGACUCUUAACUCUGUUUCUUAUAAUGUUUCUUCUGAGUAAAACAAGCAAAUAAAUUAAAACUUUCAACAACGGAUCUCUUGGCUCUGGCAUCGAUGAAGAACGCAGCGAAAUGCGAUAAGUAAUGUGAAUUGCAGAAUUCAGUGAAUCAUCGAAUCUUUGAACGCACAUUGCGCCCGCCAGUAUUCUGGCGGGCAUGCCUGUUCGAGCGUCAUUACAACCCUCAGGCCCCCGGGCCUGGCGUUGGGGAUCGGCGGAGCGCCCCUCGUGGGCGCACGCCGUCCCCCAAAUACAGUGGCGGUCCCGCCGCAGCUUCCAUCGCGUAGUAGCUAACACCUCGCGACUGGAGAGCGGCGCGGCCACGCCGUAAAACACCCCAACUCUUCUGAAGUUGACCUCGAAUCAGGUAGGAAUACCCGCUGAACUUAAGCAUAUCAAUAGACCGGAGGAAAAAGAAACCAACAGGGAUUGCCCCAGUAACGGCGAGUGAAGCGGCAACAGCUCAAAUUUGAAAUCUGGCUCUCGGGCCCGAGUUGUAAUUUGUAGAGGAUGCUUUUGGUGAGGUGCCUUCCGAGUUCCCUGGAACGGGACGCCAUAGAGGGUGAGAGCCCCGUCUGGUUGGACGCCGAACCUCUGUAAAGCUCCUUCGACGAGUCGAGUAGUUUGGGAAUGCUGCUCUAAAUGGGAGGUAUAUGUCUUCUAAAGCUAAAUACCGGCCAGAGACCGAUAGCGCACAAGUAGAGUGAUCGAAAGAUGAAAAGAACUUUGAAAAGAGAGUUAAACAGUACGUGAAAUUGUUGAAAGGGAAGCGCUUGUGACCAGACUUGGGCUUGGUUGAUCAUCCGGGGUUCUCCCCGGUGCACUCUUCCGGCCCAGGCCAGCAUCAGUUCGCCCUGGGGGACAAAGGCUU
rnacentral:rRNA from 1 species